rnacentral:lncRNA from 1 species
UUUACCUUCACUCACAACUACCAAUUGAACUAAUAUUGUUUUUGCUUUGAAAUGAGGGAGAUGCACCAUUGGAUGGAAAAAUCUUGAAACCUAAUCAUAACACUUUUUCAUGUAAACCAUAUUAAUAUUCACUGUGAAUUAACAAAGCUUGAUUAACUUCCAUAUUAAUAUGCAUGGGUCAUCAAUCACUCCAAGUGAUCAUUACACUUUGCA